UCAGGUCUUGAGACCCGUAUUAUUACCCGUGGAUUGUCCACAAAAGCCAUUGCUGGACUUGUCGUUGGCUGCAUGCUUGCAUUGGUGGCUGUGAUCCUGGUGGCUUUCUCCAUUUCCCGGUCUUUUCAUCACGGAGGUGGGACCCCUUCCUCCUGAAUGUAUUUGCUCUAGUAGAGGUUAAUUGAACAUAUUGACCAAUAACAUCUGGCAAAGGGAAGACAAGAGGAGGAAAACAGACAACUAGCAAGCAGGAACUAAGGCGAUCCAAGUCCUUUUGAUGCAAUUCAACAUCCAGUUGGUCCUCCAGCUCCAUUCUCCACCAAAGGCGGGAAUGAUCCAUUGCAGAAAGCAUUUCUCUAGAACCUCAUGGGAUCCAUGCUGAACCCCUCCAUCCUGAGUUCUUGCUUCCUCUUGACCGGAGGGAUCACCACAAUGAUCACGGUGGAUCCACAAAAGCCGGUAGAAGGACAAAGUGUGACCCUCACACCUUCAUAUACCGUCACAAACAACACUUUCAGCUGCUUUUGGCACCGAAUGGAACCUGACCAAAGAUACCUCAUCCUGACCUAUUACCCUCCGCUCUCCCGGACCACA